rnacentral:misc_RNA from 1 species
GAAAUGCGAUAAGUAAUGUGAAUUGCAGAAUUCAGUGAAUCAUCGAAUCUUUGAACGCACCUUGCGCUCCUUGGUAUUCCUUGGAGCAUGCCUGUUUGAGUAUCAUGAAAUCUUCAAAGUAAAUCUUUUGUUAACUCAAUUGGUUUCUACUUUGGUAUUGGAGGUCUUUGCAGCUUCACACCUGCUCCUCUUUGUUCAUUAGCUGGAUCUCAGUGUUAUGCUUGGUUCCACUCGGCGUGAUAAGUUUUCUAUCGCUGAGGACACUGUAAAAGGUGGCCAAGGUAAAUGCAGAUGAACCGCUUCUAAUAGUCCAUUGACUUGGACAAUACUUUUAUGAUCUGAUCUCAAAUCAGGUAGGACUACCCGCUGAACUUAAGA